UCAUGUUCUUUGCUUGUAAAACGCAAUGACACCCAAAAUCAAUAUUUUGCACAGAAGGUUCUAAAAAGCAAUCGAUUUUUAAGUUUUAACAUGGCCGUGUUUAUGUUUUGACAUGGUUAUGCUUUUGUUCCAACAUGACCAUGCUUCUAUUUUAGCAUGAUCAUGUUCUUUGCUUGUAAAACGCAAUCACACGCAAAAUCAAUAUUUUGCCCAGGAGAUUGUAAAAAGCAAUGGAGUUUUAACAUGAUCAUGUUUAUAUUUUAACAUGGUCAUGCUUUUGUUCCAACAUGACCAUGUUUCUAUUUUAGCAUGAUCAUGUUCUUUGCUUGUAAAAUGCAAUGACACCCAAAAUCAAUACGAAGAUGUUAUUAUUUACGAAGAUAUUAAUUAUAACUGAGUAUUUUCUUGCCCUGAAAUAUAAAGAUAUUAAUUAUAAUAGACAUUUUUAUGAUACAACUAGUUGUGGUAUAAUCAACAAAGGGACCAACUUGUAAUUCUAGAAAUGAGGUGGGGGUAUAGUAGAAAUUUCACCAAACCUUUAUUCAAAUAAGAAUCUUUCCAAUUGAAUUUCCCCCCAAAUUUACAUUUCACUCUCCAUCUUCAUCCUUGCUUCCAAAUCUAACAUUUCUCUUCGCUAAUCUUCACCUUCAGAUCUCGAAAUCACUAGGUCUAAUUCUUUCAACUUCAUUUAGUUGUGUUAGCUUUUUGUAUAAUUCUGUUUUUGUAUGCGAGUAAUUGCGUUAGUAUUUUUCAGUUAUACUUGAUCGAGAAUUGUUCGAGAUUGAUUUAGAUGCGGUAUGAGUUUUGUCGUCAUCGCAAUCAAUCUCUCUUUCAAUUAGAUAUGCGAUUAAAUAUAUAGAUAGAUGCAAUUGUGUUAGACGAUUAAUCCGACUGUAACUCGUCGUUUGAGAUCAGAUUGAUAUAGAUGCUAUGCGCUAGAUGUAUUGAUAUAGAUGCGCUACUUUUAGUUUUGCUAGCCGUGUCAUUCAUGUUAUGUUAUGUUUAUGUUCGAUUAUGUUUAUGUUAGAUGAUUAUGUUUAUGUUUAUGUUAGAUUAUUGAUAAUAUUGAUAUAGAUGCGCUAGUUUGUAGGUUUAUAGAUGCGCUAGUUUGUACUAGAUUUUUAUAAAUGUGGGUCGAACCGAUAGAAAUUAAGCCCAAAGUGCAUUAAAAAAAUGUACUAGAUUUUUAUAAAUGUUUUAGAAAAAUGGACAGAAGGGUAGGCAGAUUAAUUUCAUUGGACCUGCUAUGGUCUGUAGAAAAAAUAACCCAUAUCAUGGCCUUAUUAUAAUAUAUAUAACCCACCGUGACCCAUUGCCCGACCUACUCAUGUUCAAGGUUGGAGAAAAAAUAACCCAUAUCAUGGCCUUAUUAUAAUAUAUAUGACACACCUACUCGCCUUCAUACUUUUAUCAUCCAACCAAGGUUUUUAGAACCGGACCGGACGUCGAACCGGUUUGGUCACUUGUCCAUUGGUCCGACCGGUUCAACCGGUCCAACCGGAUAUAAGAACCGGCAGGUGUCUUAAAAUUAAUAGGCUGAAAUUUGAAAAAAAAAAAUUCCAAAAUCCGGUUCAAUCCAUUAAUAACCCGGUUUUCUGGUUCGACCGCCGGUUCACCGGUUCAACCCCGGUUCGAUGUAAAUCCGGUCAAAUAGGUCAGACCUCCGGUUCCCGGUCCGACCAGCCGGUCCGAUCCGGUUUUCAAAACAUUGCAUCCAACUCCAUCAAGCUGCUUUGAUUCACAACCCUAAAAAUAUGAUGAAUUUAUUUAUAUAUCUUGCUAAAGAAGCCCAAGUACAAAUAAACAGCUACUUUGGGCCCAAUUUUGAUUCCAUUGUAGAUAUAUGGUUUCCUUCGAUUGUACGUGACCUAAAUGUAUUAUCAAGGCAACAUAAAGCACCAGAAGUUUUAACUUUAAAGUACACUACGGCUCCACUUCGUAUCGGUAGUGUAUUUUUUUACCCUAAACCACUACGAGAAUACCCCUGAAAAAAAAUAAGUUCGUAAGCCCAAAAGCUGUUUAGCAUUUAUAUCUAGCACAAUGAAAAAUACAAAAGUCGAAAUCAGUUUAUAAUUGAUAGGCAGCCCAAUUCUUAUUUAAAAUUGUAAUCCCAAAACAAUUUAAUUGAUAAGGCAGCCCAAUUCUAUUGAUUAAUAGCUAGCCCAAUAGUCGAAUAUGUAAUAAACUAAUAACUCUUUGAAUAUGAAGUGGCUGUGGUGCGACAUUUGUGGAAGGCUGAACGACUAGGAAAUGAAACAACAAAGACUCAAAGCCGAACAUGGAGCACUCCUACGUACAGAAUUGUUCAAGAAUUAGGAAAUCGAUUUAGUGAGAUAACAACUAGUUUGAUAAAAAAAAAUAUGUCGGGUUUAAAUCCUUGUAACGGGUUUUCUAAGUUUGACCCAUCGAAGAUAGUGGCGUUUGCUGAAAUGUACCCAGAUGAUUUUACUACACAAGAAAUAAAGACUCUUUUGGGUGAUAUUGAAUCUUUACGUCACACUAUAAGCAAUGAUGAUAAUUUUGCAAACUUGAAUGGAAUAAGUGAUCUUGCGCGUGUUAUGGUUGAAACGGGAACAUAUAGUUCUUGUCCUUUAGUUUAUCGGGUAGUAAAGCUAGCUUUGCUUUUACCGGUCGCAAUCACAACCGUUGAAAGAUAUUUUUCGAAAUUGAAGCUUGUCAAGACGGGAUUUACGCAAUCGAAUGUGCCCGGAAUUUUUGAACAAUGCUAUGGUUUGUGCGGUCGAAAUAGAUUUUUUACAUGAAGUAAAAGAUGACGAUGUGAUGGAACGAUUUCAAGCUAUGAAAAAAAGAAGAGGACAAAUCUAUUAGUGGCAAUGUUAUAUCGCUAUAAAGAACAAGACUCGCUCCUUCAUCGAUAUAGUAUCCAUUUGCUUGAAGAAUUACUUGGACAUGCUCCUUCAUCGAUAUAGUAUCCAUUUGCUUGAAGAAUUACUUGGACAUGACGGAAUGAAUACAACAUAUAUCCUCAGUAGAAGGUGGAUUGACGGCUCCAAUGACCGAUGAUGAAACCACAUUUAAUGAGUACCUUCGCAGUAGUUCAAGUUCGGGUGAUAAAGAUUAAACACAUCAUGAUACCGACGAAUAAAAACUAAAACAUAAAAACUUAUUACCACUUGUAUGUAUUAUAGUUUUUUAAGACUUAAAAUAUUAAACAAAAAUAGUGAAUUUCAACUA